CGCAUGCGCAGGAACUGUGCCAAAAACACUAUAUAAGCCCUCGGCGCACACACGCCUGUCCCAUUUUGCUGCAAAAAAGGCAACACGUGGACGGGCAACACGUGGACGGCUCGACAGCCACAAUGGCGGGCUCCGCGUACCUGGCAGCGCUCGCAGGGACGAUCGCGCCGGUGAGCUGCUCGGGUGUGGAGACUUAAUGGGUGACGGACUUGGGCCCGGUUCCCUGGUACUUUAAGACUGGAAUCUAGCAUGAGGGUGCUGGUGUCCUCCAUGUUGAAAUGGGACACUUCGGAUGGCUGACCUGCCCCUUCAGCUGCUACUAGUCGUGUUGCCCUCUUUGAGGUGGAGCUGUCCUUACUGGUAGUCACGGGCUUGAGUCGGAAGAGAGCAGAGUUGGAGUCCUUGUGGUGUUAAGAUGUCUGUUCCUUUCCCCUCCUUUUAAUUUAUUUUUUUUUUAAAUAAAGAGGCUUGUCAAAGCAAGAAGUGGAAAUUAA